rnacentral:rRNA from 1 species
GACAGAGGGUGCAAACGUUGUUCGGAAUUACUGGGCGUAAAGCGUGUGUAGGCGGUUUACCAAGUCAGACGUGAAAGCCACGGGCUCAACCCGUGAAGUGCGCUUGAUACUGGUAGACUAGAGUCUCGGAGAGGUUGGUAGAAUUCUCGGUGUAGAGGUGAAAUUCGUAGAUAUCGAGAGGAAUACCGGUGGCGAAGGCGGCCAACUGGACGAAGACUGACGCUGAGACACGAAAGCAUGGGGAGCAAACAGG